CCUACGGGAGGCAGCAGUGGGGAAUAUUGGGCAAUGGGCGCAAGCCUUACCCAGCAAUACCGCGUGAGUGAAGAAGGUCUUCGGAUUGUAAAGCUCUUUGAUCAGGGACGAACAGAUGACGGUACCUGAAGAGCAAGCCCCGGCUAACUACGUGCCAGCAGCCGCGGUAAAACGUAGGGGGCGAGCGUUGUCCCGAAUUACUGGGCGUUAAGGGUGCGUUGGCGGCAUAAGAAGUUAGAAGUGAAAUACCCAGGGCUUAACUCGGGUGCUGCUUCUAAGACUGUUGAGCUUGAGUGCGGGAGCGGUUAAUGGAAUUCCUAGUGUAGCGGUGGAAUGCGUAGAUAUUAGGAGGAACACCAGAGGCGAAGGCGAUUAACUGGACCGUAACUGACGCUGAGGCACGAAAGUGUGGGUAGCAAACAGGAUUAGAUACCCCUGUAGUC
rnacentral:rRNA from 1 species